rnacentral:lncRNA from 1 species
ACUCUUAAUUUUUUAUUCAAAAUAAUAAAAAGUUAAAUAACUGUCUCGCCCUGUUAUGAUGGGAUUUGUAGAGCACCAUGCUGUCCUGCCAAGAUCUGAGCUUUGCAGGAGGGCAGCGCUACGACUUCUCCGCCUCGACGUCAGUUGACGGUAGUGUUGACGUUUCCACAGCAACGCUCGUCUCCCUCUGGGACGCCGGUCCCCUGGACAACGCUUCCAGCCAGCCCGAGCCGCCGCGGCGGGAUGCACUGCCUGUGUCUGAGCAUGGACUGGGACAUCGACCCACCUGGCCUGACCAACUGUCACCUCAGCUUCAACGAAAUAAACAGGUAUUUAAAUAGAUCAAAUAUAGAUUACUGUCAUUAACCUUCGUUCAUCUUCGGAACACAAAUUAAGAUAUUUUUGAUGAAAAUCCGAGAGCUUUCUCACCCUGCCUAGACAGUAACACAACUAACGCAUUUAAGGCUCAGAAAGGUAGUAAGGAAAUAGUUAAAAUAGUCCAUGUGACAUCAGUUUCAACUGUUUUUUUUUUUUUUUUUUUUUUUUUAACCAAACUAUUAGAAUACUUUUUGUGCACAAAGAACUCAGAAAGGUAGUAAGGAAAUAGUUAAAAUAAGUCCAUGUGACAUCAGUUUCAACUGUUUUUUUUUUUUUUUUUUUUUUUUAACCUUAAACUAUUAGAAUACUUUUUGUGCACAAAGAAACAAAAAUAAUGACUUUAUUCAACGAUUUCUUCUCUUCAGAGGAAUGCACACUCAUAUAUCAUGGUAUUGUCAUAAAUGCGCACUGAAGACUGACAGGGAAGAGAAGAGUUCUCUCUGUGCACAAAAAGUAUUCUCGUAGCUUCGUAAAAUUACAGUUUGAACCACUGAUGUCACAUGGACUAUUUUAACAAAGUCCUUACUACAGUACUUUUCUGGGCCUUGAAUGUGGUAGUUGUGUUGCUGUCUAUGCAGGGUCAGAAAGCUCUUGGAUUUCAUUAAAAAUAUCUUAAUUUGUGUUCCAAAGAUCUUACUGAAGAUCUU